UUAACUCCAGGGUCAGGACCUUUACAAUACUCCACCCCUUAAACCUUUGUUUAUAUAACCCAGGUUCCAUUCCCAUUCCCUCUCUCUACUGCUGUUUACCGUUCUUCUUCCUCUUCCUGCUUUUUCAUCUUUUUGAGGUUCUACUGCUCUUUAUCAGGAACACCUCUUUUUAUUAUCCAAAGACAAUUACAGAACGGAACCAUAAUUAUGAGGGUUCAAAUUUUGGGGAUUGCUUGAUUUGAAAUCAUCACUGUUGUUAAACCCUUCGAUCAAUGCACCAAGGAAUGGCGAAAUAAGUCAAGGCGCAAAGACUAUCCACUAGCAGUUGCAGAGCUGAAGGGUAAAGGCACCAGGAAAUAUUAUUAUGACCGGAGUAGUGAGAAUAGGAGGCCUAAGACACAUGAGGUUCGUACUUCAUCAACGCCCAGGAGAAGAAGUGCUCGAAUUGUGUCUCUAGCGAUAACUGGAUUACAAGCACCCAACCCUAUGGAGUAAGUGGUUGUGCAACAACAAAUGACAGAUGUUCUCCGUUUGAUAUUUGAGGAUCCUGUGUGGGAUAAAUUUUUCAUCUUUACUUGUCAAUUAUAAUUAACAUGCUCUGUUGGAGAUAAACAUUUCUUCUCCUUGGCUCUAGCAUGUACUCGUGGAACAAGUGUAUCAUGUUAUAUAACCUUGUUGGCUGAGUAAGUGGGUACUACAACUUGGUGGUGGGGAGGAUAUUAUGGUCUGGUUAAUUUGUUUGUCAGUUGCUCUUCUGUACAACAGCUCAAAAGAAAUUUAUGGAAAUGCAAUGGUCUUUUCUUUA